rnacentral:lncRNA from 1 species
CCAAUCUACAGUCUUCUUUCUUUAUUAUUGAAUUAAUAAAUAUAAAUUAAUAAUAUUUUUAAUAUGUUAAAUAGGUUUGAUAAAUUUAUCUAUCAAAGUUUGAAGAGCUAGGACAAAAAAGAUAAGUAAUCCUAACACUUUUACUUGCUUUUGAAAUUAUUGAUUAUUUUAACAUGAAAAAAAUUAUUUUAUAUUUUCAUAGAAUAAAGAUCUAGCAUAUGCAUUGUGAAAUUCAUGAUUUAUCAUAAAAUAGUAAUUUAUGA